rnacentral:rRNA from 1 species
GAUGAACGCUAGCGGCAGGCCUAACACAUGCAAGUCGAGGGGCAGCGCAAAGAUAGUUUACUAUUUUGGCGGCGACCGGCGCACGGGUGAGUAACGCGUAUGCAACCUACCUUAUACAGGAGUAUAGCCCGAAGAAAUUCGGAUUAAUCCUCCAUAGUAUUCUUUAAUGGCAUCAUUUGAAGAAUUAAAGCUUCGGCGGUAUAAGAUGGGCAUGCGUCCUAUUAGCUAGAUGGUAAGGUAAUGGCUUACCAUGGCUACGAUAGGUAGGGGGCCUGAGGAGGGUG